UAAUUUGCAGAUUUGGGUUGAUAUAAAUGUUUCAGAGAGGCAGAGCUGCUCUGGAAGCAGCAGUAAUCUGAUUAGUUGAGUUAAAUCACACCAAAUGAGUGGUUUGGAUAAAGCAACAUAUCCAGGUUUUUGAUUUUGUGUGUGAGUAAACGGCCACAGAGGUGUGCGGCCAAAGAGAGAAGCUACCGACCCGGUCUCCAGCGAUUUCUACAGGUUGAUAUUUAUGUAUUGUGCUGUUAGAUGUUGGUGGGUCAACAUGACGGAGCGUUUGGUUUAGUGUUAGUUAACGUGACAGAAUAACACCAUGAGGUAUGGAUCAUGUAAAUGACCAAACGUGAAAAUGAUUACAAAAUCACUCAAGUCAUUCAUUCGUGGUUCUGUUUGCACAUUGCAUGCAACAGUUUCUGAUCUGUAUUUUGUUUGGUAACACUAAUGGAAGUUGUCUCUGCUCUCUCCUUAAGCAAACAACUUAAUCCUGCUGCUGUUGUUAAUGAUGUCUCUGAUCUGCAAUAUGGUCGUGCCACUGGUUGUUUACCAGUGCAUGCGCCGCCAGUCGCGGCGGGACAGGAAUCAGUGGGUGGAGAACUCAACCCAUGGGUCGAAUGAAAACUUGCCAGAAGACGAGGAGUUUAAGUCUCUCUUUGUCACACAGCCCCCUGAGUGUCACUCCGUCCUCACACAUUCAACUGGGAAUUCUGCUGCUGCUGAAGAGAAAACGCAGCUUUAAGGGCCCUGCUCACAACAUCGCCUCUGUACAUUUUUAAUGCAGCGCAGCUAUGAAAUGUAACAAUGCAGCUGGAUCCCAGGAGCAUUAGCUCUAUCAGACAGUUUGUUUUUGUUGCGUCACAACUACAGCAAAGUUGGCGGCGCUCUCACAGGUGUGCGGAUGUUUGUUGGCAGCAACACCAGCUGGGGAACCUAAUACUACUGGAGUUAUGCGUUUGUGUUUGAUGCUUGAAAAAAAAUACACAGACAACAAUGUCAUUUCAAACCGGGACAGCUAAAACCUGACUGGCCCAUUGGAGUUUGUAGCUUUUUGCUAGCACGUUUCCAAAAGUGGGUUGGAAAUGUUGCCAGGUUUAGUUUCGCAGCAGAUAAAGUUCUCUGGGCAUCAGAUAAAAUCCUAAAAAAAGCACCGAAAUAUUUUGGUAGCUCAGUAUUUUUUGUUGCAAUUGUAUUGAGUUUCAUUGUGAUGUAGGUGAAGUUGAAAUGCUAGUCAUGUUCCAAAGAAAUAAUAUUUGACAUGGAUCUUUGGUUGAGCUGCCCAGAUAAUUGUUUUUUUCACUGUUUUGGAAUACUUAUGAGCCUUAGUGAGUUAGCUAGCUUAAUAUUCUAAGUACUUAAAUGUGAUAACCAAACAAAGGCAUUUUGACCAAUUUCAUAAGCUGUGAAAACAUACUUUAGUUAAUGUGAAAAACAUUUAAAAGUUAUUUGAUAGGUUCUCCCACUGACAAGCUUCAUAAAUAUGAUACAGUCUUUGUGUUUAAUAUUGUAUUUAGAGGUUCCACUAUGUAUAUUGUUUGGACAGGUUACCAAAGCCACUUAGGGGCCCUCAAACAACCUCAAACACGUUUUCUGCCUUUCAGAAGCGUUUUCAACAUUUUAUCAGCAAUCAGUUGAUAACAUUUUCUAGCAUUUUAUAAUCAUAACCGCAUUUAAUUUGGUUUUACAUUUGCCUCUCAUUAUAUUUGUAAUAAUGUUGUACUUACAGUUCUACAGAAGCCCUGAAAGGCAAGAUGGAACAAAAAGUUUUGUUGGGGCAUCGUCAGCCAAAACCUAAGUUUAAGUCCUACAGCUUGGAUUUUUUGGGUUUGUUGGGUUAAACAGUGUAUAUAGGCUAUAGAGUAUAUGGCUAAUUAAUAUUCACUCGCAUGUAGUCCGAUGAUGUCAUUAACGUUAUUAACAAGAUAAACAGUAAGACUACAUAUGAGACAGCUUUAGUUUCCGCAUGUUUGUAGCAAUUCCCUAUAUGUGCUGUUUAAUGGCAGCGGAUGAGGGCAGAUUGAAAUAUGGUUUGCUACAUUUUUAUGCCUGUUGAACAGGUGUAGCCUAUUGGCUCGUUUCUCUUCUUCUUCUGGCUUUUUUUCAGCUGCUUAGAUGCCUUGCGGCACGUUGCUGACACUGUGAGUGCAAAUGCAGGAGACACGGAAACUCUGACUAAUCAGAUCCGACUGGGCCUCUUUUGGGAGGGGGAUUUAAAGAGACAGGCACUAAAGCCAGGCACAGAGCGUUUUAAACAGAGGGUGAAUACAGGUAUAUUCAGACAGAAUAUUACAGUAGUAAUAAUGUUUUUUUAACAG